UGUUGUGGUGUCGUUGAACUGCUGAAGUGCUAUUAAUUAGCACUCCUUGGGACGUCACAUGACACCGACAUAGAAAAUCCCUGCAUAUUGAAAGGUUGAGCACUUGUGUGAUACACAGGAAAGCUCAAGAUUUGCUCUUCAAGCUACUAACUACUAAGGACGAAAAUGCCAGCUUGGAGUCAUUUGAUUGUCAGCAAUCAUCUUGACGCCUCUCUAUCUUAUCACACUGUGAAGGACUCUGUUCCUUUCAUUCAUUGAGUAUAUAGUCCAAAGUCAGUAUCUGCUUGCUGAAUAACCAGGACAAUAUCAUACCAUUAGAAGAAUGAAUAGACAUGAGGAACUGCAUUUGCACACAUGGACAGUGACAGCAAACAUUUCAGUGCACACUGAGGUACUGUUCCAGUUAACCGUUGUUGACUUGAGGAGACAAAUGAGAGGAGCUCGGAAGAGGAAUCUUCAAUUGCCUCUGUCAGAUUGCUCUGCGGGCUUCUCUGUGGGGCAUAGUCAUAAUCAGUGAUCAUUGUGGGAGGGCCCAGCUUACUGUGGACAGUGCCACCCGUAGAAAACUGCUCCUGAGUUGAGUAUCAGAAGGCUGAGGAUGC